UUCAUGAGGUAGGCGGUGCCCCCGAAGAGUUAUAUAAGCGGAGACUCAGCCAACCCUCAGCGUUCUUUGCUGUGGGACUUUGAAGAACGUUCGUCGUCUUAGUAGCUGUAAACUGCAUAUCGUGAAAAAAAAAUGGCAUCAGAUGAAGGGAAACUCUUUGUUGGUGGACUCAGCUUUGACACCAAUGAGCAGUCACUGGAGCAAGUCUUCUCUAAAUAUGGACAGAUAGCUGAAGUUGUUGUCGUAAAAGACAGAGAAACCCAGCGAUCAAGAGGGUUUGGCUUUGUCACUUUUGAGAACAUUGAUGAUGCAAAAGAUGCUAUGAUGGCCAUGAAUGGGAAGUCUGUCGACGGCCGCCAAAUCAGAGUGGAUCAAGCUGGCAAAUCCUCUGAGAACAGAUCUCGUGGAUACAGAGGGGGCUCGGCUGGUGGCAGAGGCUUCUUCCGCGGAGGUAGAGGAAGGGGCCGGGGCUUUUCCAGAGCAGGAGUCAAGGCAGCUAUGGUGACAGGCCUUCCGGCGGAUCCUACAGAGACAGCUAUGACAGUUACGCUACACACAACGAGUAAAAAAUCUUCCUGGCUCAAGAUCGUCCUUCCAAUGGCUGUAUUUAUAAAGAUUUUUGGAGCUCCGCUGAAAUCGUUCUUGUGUAGUCAUCUCCUUUGUAUUCUCACUUUUGUAGUAAACUUGCAGUUCCAACCUUGUCAAACACAGCCUGACAGCUUCUAGUAUGUGAUAGUUUGGUCAGCCUCAAAGAAAGCUUUUUUCCUCAAGUGUUUUAAUAUUUUUAAAACGCUUCACAAUUCUAGAUCCUUUGUGAGCAGAGGUGUGUGUUAGCUUUUCUUUUUCAAAAGAAAAAGAUCAGAAGGUUUUGGGGCCCCAUUUUUGGUGUUUCUGUUGAGCAAGAAAGGACCUUAAUUGUUCAGUAGAAGCUGAGCAAGCUGUGAAGUCUUUUUUUUGUUUUGUUUUGUUUAGUGCUUUGAUUUGUAACCUAAACUUUAGUGUAGCAAGGUAGGUAUUGUAGCCUGGGUAUAAACUUUGAAAGGCAACCCACCUUGAUAUAUCUAAAGAGAUGCUUGUAUGUUGAACUUGCAUUAAGAAACUACUUGUACGCCAUACAACUUAACCCAGAAAGACACUGCAAUUCUUAACCAAGCAAGAGGUUCGUUGAAAAUUGUUUGUUUCUAUUGUCCUUUUUUUACUGGAAGAAAGUAUGCCUAAUACAAUUGAUGUUGUAAUUUUGAAGUGGUGAAAAGGAUUUCUUGUACAGUUUUCCUCUGGCUUCACGAAGCCUAUUAAAAGUCCAUCUGAAAAAAAAUUGCUCUUGAAAUCUUACAUCUUGCUGCACAACACAAGUCUGGACGAAAGUGGAGAAAGUACAGCUAGACAGGACAGCGGAGAGAGGGAGAAGCUGCUGCUAGGGAGAGACGGGCAGGCUCCAUGCCUGCAGUGAGCACUCAGUGUAUGUACUGAGGCCUGUUGUGCUUACAGGGCCUAGCUCAGAUAGCCUGAGGGUCACAGAAAGGUUUCAGAAGGGACAUAAGAAAUUCCCUUGCCCUUCAUGGGAGUGCUUUAGGUUUGGCUGGAAUUGAUCCAACCUUUGAAAAGAAUACUGUGGAUUCCUCGGAUUCCCAUAGUAACAUGUUGCUUGUGAUGCAAAACAAAUAGAUAAUUGCAGCGAUGGGCCCACAUGAGUUUAAGUGAGAAGCAGCCGACACCACGCUAGGGGAGAGCCAGCCAAACACACAGCCUGCAAUGGAGUUUCACUAACUGGGUCAGCCGCUGCUAGUCUGACAGUGUUCCAAGGCGAGUAACUGUGACCUAAUUUAGCUAGCUUUGUCAUUGCCUUCUAAGUUCUAAGAAUUCUCUGCUAGCGUAUGGAAAACGGCAGUGCCUUGGCGAAAAAGAAGUGUUGUGCCUCCAACAGAGAGAACCUCAGACGAAAGCUGCUCUCUUGGCUAGUUCAUUUGUGGGGAUAGUCCCGUAAUUCGAGGUAACUCUUUUCCUCAUGUCCGCAUCCCUUCCUCCUGUUGAGAGCUCAUAUAUAUAAUUUUUAUUUCUUUUAGAAAGAUGGUUAACCCACGUGCACCAAAUUUUUCUCUGCCAAGUUUGGUCAGCUAAAAAAGAAGCUCUUUAAAAAAAAGUGCUUUCCUGUAUGGAGUCUUUGAUUUUUGUGGCAUAAAUUUGACAUGGGUCACAAGGGGUGUGUGUUGCCAGUAGGUCACAUGUGAGUUGGGGAGCCGAAACCUCCCCUAAGCAAUGAUGCUCGUCUCUCGAGACUUUCUUAAGACUUCACUUUUAAGUCACGUAACUGUUAACGUUCUUUGCCAUCUCGUUUGCAUUUUAACUUUCUCCCCGUAGCCCAUACUAUUUCUAAGCAACCAUUAUCAACAGUGACUAACUACUUUUUGUGGGAUCAGGCGCUUGCUGGCCAGGCUGAGGGAGGCACUGAUUCAGUUUUGGAGCAGGGCUGGCCCACACCGGGCUUUGGAGAUCGGGGGGGUUGGGUCCACAAUUGGGCUGUGAAAGCCCUUUUGUGGGCCCUCUUGCCUGUCUGUUGAGGGGUGGGCAGGGUGGACACCGAAGCCGUCUCAGUGUGGCUGUGUCUUUGGUAACGCAGGUUUGUCUUGGCAGGUUGAUGAAGAAAAGCUGAGCUGGAGCAGGACAGUGUUUGCGGCUGAGGACCUCAUUGAGGCUCUGGUCUUCAACCAGCUUCACAAGGAGCAGCUGUGUGCUGCUAGGAAGAGAAGCGACAAAUGAGGACUGCAGCAUUGGCUGUGAAGACAAGGUCGCAGGGUGGUUUUCUUCAGUGGAUUACGCGGCAGAAUGGAUGUGUACAAAAGGAAUUGAAUAAACGCUAAGUGAAAAACA